ACAAUGGGCGCAAGCCUGAUGCAGCCAUGCCGCGUGUGUGAAGAAGGCCUUCGGGUUGUAAAGCACUUUCAGUCGUGAGGAAGGUGGUGUAGUUAAUAGCUGUAUUAUUUGACGUUAGCGACAGAAGAAGCACCGGCUAACUCCGUGCCAGCCCCCGCGGGUAAUAAA
rnacentral:rRNA from 1 species